CAGUAAGUAGUUUAUUAAAACUUUAAUUUUGGAGAUUAAGAUUGGGAAAUUUUCUCUUUACUGA
rnacentral:tRNA from 1 species